AGCGAACGCUGGCGGCAGGCUUAACACAUGCAAGUCGAGCGGGCAUCCUUGUGGUGUCAGCGGCAGACGGGUGAGUAACGCGUGGGAACGUGCCCUUCGGUUCGGAAUAACUCAGGGAAACUUGAGCUAAUACCGGAUACGUGCGAGAGCAGAAAGGUUUAUCUGCCGAAGGAUCGGCCCGCGUCUGAUUAGCUAGUUGGUGAGGUUAUGGCUCACCAAGACGACGAUCAGUAGCUGGUCUGAGAGGAUGAUCAGCCACACUGGGACUGAGACACGGCCCAGACUCCUACGGGAGGCAGCAGUGGGGAAUAUUGGACAAUGGGGGCAACCCUGAUCCAGCCAUGCCGCGUGAGUGAUGACGGCCUUAGGGUUGUAAAGCUCUUUUCUUCGGGACGAUAAUGACGGUACCGGAGGAAUAAGCCCCGGCUAACUUCGUG
rnacentral:rRNA from 1 species